UAAGUAAUGACAGAUACGUUGAAUCCUUACUAUCAACACUACAAAAAGGCAGCAAUCUAGUGCAUUUGUUCAACUUCGCUUUCAAUCAUGUAGGACAUUCACAGUAGCCUCAAUUGUCGAGCACAAAUUAAUCAACUGGAGAUGCGAACCGGAGUAUCAAUUGCCAAAAAAUCAUCCAAACAAAAUCUCGGAGAAUCCCCCGGGGAAUUACUUCAGAUACGAAGAUGAUUCAAAAAUGAGACAACUGACAUGCAAAGAUCUUUGAAUAAUGCUACCUAAAUUCAGAAAAGUACCCAAAUAACAGUAGCAGAUGGACAAGCAACUAUCAUCUAUUCAAUGUCGGAUUGACAACCAACUAAAUAUACCCCCUCAAAUGCUAUGACACGCAUGCAACCUUCUUAGCUUACAGUUAACUUCCAUUGGUCAAAUAUAUUUUCCAGCUUAUGAUGUCAAAGCAAUUUUUCUUUUGCUUCAACAGCUAGCCAGAAUGCAAUUAAAAAACAGCUUCCUGCACAGAGAAAUAGCACAGCUUAAGCAAUAUAUUUUCAUGUCAAAUCAACAUUACACACUUGUAAGCACCCCG
rnacentral:lncRNA from 1 species